rnacentral:misc_RNA from 1 species
GAUGAAGACGUAGCGAAAUGCGAUAAGUAAUGCGAAUUGCAGAAUUCAGUGAGUCAUCGAAUCUUUGAACGCACAUUGCGCCCUGUGGUAUUCCGCAGGGCAUGCCUGUUCGAGCGUCAUUUCAACCCUCAAGCUCUGCUUGGUGUUGGGCCCUGCCCGCUGCGGCCGGCCCUAAAGACAGUGGCGGUGCCGCCUGGCCCUGAGCGUAGUACAUCUCUCGCUCCAGUGCCCGGUGGUAGCCUGCCAGAACCCCAACUCUCGUGGUUGACCUCGGAUCAGGUAGGGAUACCCGCUGAACUUAAGCAUAUCAAUAAGCGGAGGA